AUGCCUGAUCCAUUGGAUUACUGGAAAAGGCUAGACUACCUCCAGCGCCACAUCUCAGCCGUCAAGGACGCAAUAGACCAGGGCGCGGAUGUGUGGGGCCACUUCACCUCGGGUCUGAUCGACAACUUCGAAUGGAGCCUUGGCUACAGCUCACGAUUCGGCCUCGUCUACAUCAACAAGACGGACAGCAACAAGCGCAAGCUCAAGAAGUCAGCCAAGUGGUUUGCCAAGUUCAACUCCGUCCCAGAAGUCUUGCUUAAGACUACCAAUAACUCGCCAGCCGUGCCUGCUUCCGUUUCCCUCACUGCCGGGGAUGUUGAAUUACCUAGUAGCCUCGAUCGAUUCUGCAAUGGCAGGUGCUCGCUUGGCGUCGGGAUCACGGAGGACUGGAUGGGCUCCUUCUUGGCUUCCGGAGGGUGGCUCACCAGAUUCCGGCUCCGUAGUUUGUUUUCUUUUUCUUUAUUUUGGGCUUACCUAUGCUGUUGCCCCAGCCCGAGCUAUUUCCUGUUUGCUUACUGA
rnacentral:rRNA from 1 species